AUUGAACGCUGGCGGCAGGCCUAACACAUGCAAGUCGAGCGGAUGAAGGGAGCUUGCUCCUGGAUUCAGCUGCGGACGGGUGAGUAAUGCCUAGGAAUCUGCCUGGUAGUGGGGGAUAACGUCCGUAAACGGGCGCUAAUACCGCAUACGUCCUGAGGGAGAAAGUGGGGGAUCUUCGGACCUCACGCUAUCAGAUGAGCCUAGGUCGGAUUAGCUAGUUGGUUGGGUAAAGGCCUACCAAGGCGACGAUCCGUAACUGGUCUGAGAGGAUGAUCAGUCACACUGGAACUGAGACACGGUCCAGACUCCUACGGGAGGCAGCAGUGGGGAAUAUUGGACAAUGGGCGAAAGCCUGAUCCAGCAAUGCCGCGUGUGUGAAGAAGGUCUUCGGAUUGUAAAGCACUUUAAGUUGGGAGGAAGAGCAGUAAGUUAAUACCUUGCUGUUUUGACGUUACCAAAAGAAUAAGCACCGGCUAACUUCGUG
rnacentral:rRNA from 1 species